GCGACGGGUGAGUACACGUGGGCAAUCUGCCCUUCACUCUGGGACAAGCCCUGGAAACGGGGUCUAAUACCGGAUAACACCGGCUUCCGCAUGGGAGCUGGUUGAAAGCUCCGGCGGUGAAGGAUGAGCCCGCGGCCUAUCAGCUUGUUGGUGGGGUAAUGGCCUACCAAGGCGACGACGGGUAGCCGGCCUGAGAGGGCGACCGGCCACACUGGGACUGAGACACGGCCCAGACUCCUACGGGAGGCAGCAGUGGGGAAUAUUGCACAAUGGGCGAAAGCCUGAUGCAGCGACGCCGCGUGAGGGAUGACGGCCUUCGGGUUGUAAACCUCUUUCAGCAGGGAAGAAGCGAAAGUGACGGUACCUGCAGAAGAAGCGCCGGCUAACUACGUGCCAGCAGCGGGGAUUAAUACG
rnacentral:rRNA from 1 species